rnacentral:lncRNA from 1 species
UUUAAUUAAUUCUCAGGGAUCAGACACGGCUGUGAAUACUCCGGAGCUAGGUUUGGGCUGUGGAGCUUCUGCAGUGGCAUACAUACUACGUAGGGCUGUGUGUGUGUGUGUGUGUGCAUUAGAGCUAUGUAUGUGCUUGUCACCUGCCACUAUUCGCAAGAUCUAGACACUGCAUGGAUUUACAUAGUAGGACGAUUUGAGCAAGUCUGAUGUUUCUCUUCUUUCCUUUCUAGUCUUCACGACACGGAGAAGGAGAAGAAAAUGCGAUGUCCUGGAGAACAACAAUAAUCGUAUCGAUUGACAAAUACUCCAUACACAUACACAAUUCAUUAUUAAUAAACUUCGUGUAACAACAGCAGCAAAACAACCCUAGUGGCUGUGUAUAUUUUUUGUCUGUCUUAGACGUACUCGUAGUACGCUGAACAUUCCAUCCCUGCAAAAGCAAAGACAAAGCAAACGCCAAAACGUCAAAGAUCGUCUCCAGCUAAAUCGAAUCUGUUUCCGGUAAGAAUUAACGUUCGAUAGACUCGCGAUAAACAUGGCGAUAAAACAUCAAAGACAAAUCUAGAUCAUCGAUCUUUUUUUUUCUCUUUAUUAAAUUAUUACACUAAGGAAUGGAUUCGAUAUACCGCAAGCAGUAAGAAAAUGGAACCUGCCCGAUCAAAACUCACCGUCCAUGGAAUCGCCAUAUCCGCACUGGCCCAUGGAUGCCCCUACCACCCACUGACCAACCGUCUGGAGUACGUACGUACUUCAAUAUUCUCGGAGGUGAUAUACUCCCCGCCUCCGGAAGUGAACUUUCUCGCCUGGCCAGUGGCCACUGGAGGGAAAGAUAACCUUAUUCUUCUCUUCAUCCAAUCCAUCCAUUGAAUGGCACAUCUCCUUGCUUCAAGGGUCCUCCAUCGAAGGGAGAAAAAAAAUUUUUAUAUGGGCUGAGGCGAAAAGUAUUGGCUCUGUUCACAACGCCUAGAGAGAGCACGGAUACAUACUGUGUCAGUGCUUCGCGACCAGAACCGUUGAAUUUUGACCUUCAAUGCACGCGUAUAGUAUGUCCUCCGUGCGGUGAUCUCGCUUAGUCGUCAAGCACGGAUCUUGUCGAAGCGGGAUGGCUUGAGACAUUGAUAAUGCCAAGUCUGUGCCUGAGGACUUUUCAACUUUUUAUUCAACCCCGGGGUCGAGGUUGAGAUUCAUUGUCGGUGGUGUGGUGAGAUGGAUACUCUGAGUAGAGUCGUAUUGUUCGUAUGUAUGCGCCGUACGAUACAGACUAGUAUGUAUAUGGCUAGCGUAACGGAUGGGGCAUACGUCAAAGCGAGACGGGACCAACCAGAAGGCGUAAAUGGGACACUGUUUGUCUGAUCGACUGCAGCAGCAGUGCAGCUUUGGUCUUCUUGGCGUUGCCUGGUGUUACUGUGGCAGACGCUGUAUCAAAUACAUAGUUAUAAUAUGUAUGAUGACUAUGGAGUCGUAGGGUAAGAAAUAGUGUACGAGAAAUAUACUCCGUGAUCGGCGGAUCUACGUGGGUUGCAUAAGCACAUUGAACUGAGUAAGUUAUUAUGAAUAAGUCUUCAUCUACACUCUGCAGGAUGUAUUUACUCUCUUCUUUUCAGUCAGAUUCCUUUUAAAGGCGAGGAUAUCGAGAAUAAACUAACUUUGUAUACACUACUUAGCAGUGUUCUACUACAGUAACAACCCUUGCUACUUCCACUACCAGUCUAAUAUCAGAUAGACCCGUCCAGCCCUGUCACCAGCAUUAAGCGACCACACUAACCCAGUUAUGGCUAGCACUGCUAGGUAGCCUACAGGCUGGUCCCACGGUCUGGCCCCUUCGCCUUUUUGUAUCGUUCCCUGUUUUGUCGGGGGCUGUCAACCUGCAUUUCCCUGUUUUGUCUUUAUCAACUCUUGUCUGGAUAUGUCUCCUGAGUCGUACAGACAGACAGACUGCAUGCAUUCCCAUCAUCAUUAUCAUCAUAUCCAUGUUGAUACCAGCAUAGAUACUAAGAAAAGGAAUCAGGUGACUUGACCGAUUGCAUGCUGCAUUCGUCUUUGUCUUCAAGUUGUUGUAUGACCCGACCACGGUUUGUCUUAUCUUGACGAGAGAGAUUCUUUGCUCAGCUCUGAUUGCAUGACAAGGCCUGCCAUGGACGGGAUUGUAUGACCAGUGUCGACAUCACAAAAGCGGUCAAGAUGAAUGGCUGUGAGUGGUUGGAUCCAUGGCUUUUGUAGGAUAGAUAUCGAGUUUUCUGAUGGGACUAUCUGCAUGUCAUGCACACUCCUUUCUGACCAUGAACGUGCGCCGACUUUGACCUUCUCAGAAGUAUGAACUUGAUGGAGUCGAGUCGUUUUACCCCAUACAGUUCCCCUUGACUCGGUAGUACUACUACUUAACUAUGGAGAAGUGAACGCCUGUGGCUCAGUGGCUGACCCUUAUCUGCGGGGCUUAUUCAGCGCAAGACCACCAAAUAGUUAUUCCGAGCCAUCCGAAUACUCGCCUGCCUAGAUAAUAGCACAUGCAUCAAACAUAGACCAGGCCCGACAAACCCCUUCCUUUGUUUGAGGCAGGGCCUGGAGGUGUAACGGCCGUGCACAUCCCCCUCAUCUCGUCGCUUUUAGUUACUUACUCCGUAGUUAGUACUCCAAGGACCUUAAGCCAUCAUAUACCUUAAUUCCACCAUGCGAGUCCGUUGUAUAUACAUACAUGGAAUGUACAUCUAUCCCUGUCCUUAUCCCUGCCGUUUACACACGAGCAGUCAGAUUGAUGACGGGCACAUUUUGACUUUUUUUAUGUCGAACUUUGACUUCAGCCUGGACGUAGUGGAGAUGCCUACCACAACACAAUAUUCAAUAUCCAACAUGGAUACAAAGAUAUAUUAGCUAUCCCCUGUGCGGAUGUUAUCCCCAUUUGCAUUCUACAUGAAGAAGAGAGCCAUCGACGCCGCCGCACUGACUGCACCAACAAUUCAGGGUCCGGGUGUACCUGGCCUAAUCAACUCCUUCACUCGUCUAUGGCCGCUCAUAAUGGAUAUAUCGUUAUGUAGUAGUUAUGUAGACUACUUACGACGGUGGUUGCCAGCACAGACACACCUCCGCUCCACCCAUACCUCCUUAUAGUCAUAUAUCAAAUAUAGAUACAUACUAUAGAAGGCUUUGCGUUUGUUUUUUGGUAGGGAUACGAUACGAGGUGACUACUAGCUAGUAGCAACUCCACUGGCGAUCGGACUAUUUAUAUUAAACUUCGAUAUAAGUACAUAUGUUGUACAUGUACAUCAAUCAUAUAUUGAAAAUUAGAGUUUGGGGAUUGCUUUGAUGGCUUGUUUACUUCGAGACUCAAUUAAAUUUGAGCCAUGCAGUCAAUUGUUUUGGUUCAGACCGACUUUUUGUAUUAGAUGCAUUGCAAUAUGCACGCGUAGGUUCGACUGGGUCAUCUGGUGCGAUAGAUGGGAAUGCUUUGUGCGGAGGAGUUAGAUAUCUACAUUAUAGGCUCUACUGUAUU